rnacentral:rRNA from 1 species
UACGUAGGGUGCGAGCGUUAAUCGGAAUUACUGGGCGUAAAGUGUGCGCAGGCGGCCGAGCAAGUCGAGUGUGAAAGCCCCGAGCUUAACUUGGGAACUGCGCUCGAAACUAACUUGGCUAGAGUGUGGCAGAGGGAGGUGGAAUUCCGACGUGUAGCGGUGAAAUGCGUAGAGAUGUGGAGGAACACCGAUGGCGAAGGCAGCCCCCUGGGUCAAGAUUGACGCUCAUGCACGAAAGCGUGGGGAGCAAACAGG